rnacentral:rRNA from 1 species
GUUCCAGUAGCCCAGAUUGUGAAUUGACACUUGUGUCAAAUUGUGGAAUGUUGGUUGGUUUGCCCUACUUGUAGACCAAGUCCCCUGGAACGGGGCAGCAGAGAGGGUGAGACUCCCGUAUGUCUAUGAGUGUGAGGAUCAACUGUCGAGUCGAGUUGUUUGGGAUUGCAGCUCCAAGUGGGUGGUAAAUUCCAUCCAAGGCUAAAUAUUGGUGAGAGACCGAUAGCGUACAAGUACCGUGAGGGAAAGAUGCAAAGCCGCGCGAGAGCGCUGUCAAAGAGUACCUGAAAUUGCUAAAAAGGAAGCGAAGGAAACCAGUGUUAGCCAACCUGCACUUCCCCUAGUGCUUGCACUUGUGGCGC